rnacentral:sRNA from 1 species
GACCAGCCGAAGUAUCGGCCAGCCGCCUG